UGUAACGAUGGAGGCAAAAGGAGGUGCAGAUCCUUCAGGUCUAGAUAUGAUAGAAACUCGGCCGUCAUCACGAUGUCCUGGAAUAAUUAAAGACAGCUCCCCUUCUGAUGGAUUACACGGUGAUUCCUCACUUGAGCUUCGUCCCAACAAGGAGCCUGAAAUCUCAGAGUCUGAAGUUAUCGUCGCUGUGAAACCACGCCGGCAGAUAAUCUUCAUCUGAUCCACCUGAGAUGGUGUUUAUCAUCUCUGCAGAAUCCGUGGGCCGCUGAUUCAACCCACUGAUUCAUGCACAUAUAAUCUGUGGAGAAAUAACGGAAGUGAAGAGCAAAGAAGAACAAAAAUACCGUGAAACUUCACUUAAUAGCUUCACUGACUGAAGUCAACAGGCCUGUAUUUGAGACAGGCCUUUAAUUGCUGUCACACAAACUGCUGCUCAGCAAAGAUCAGGAAAUACAGUCAAAGUGUUUUUAAACCAGUCUGAAUAUUAGUUCUUUAAGAAUUAGGCUCCAGAUAACAUAUAAAUUAUGAGUCAUUAAUUUGGUCUAACUCUGACAGACGGAGCAUCAGAGAGAGUUACAGCACUGGGAACACCGACACAAAACCACUUUGUCCUGUUAAAACAAUCCUCACAACUUGGAUUCAUUUUUAUGGAUGAACCUUUUGACCUGAGGACCCCGACAGACUGAAGGAAUAUGAAUAACCUACAGGGUAAUCCAGGAAUGGACACAUCAUUUGAGGUAGACAACAACCCGGGUUUAAACAUCCAAAGAACUUGUAUAAAGAAAAUGAACUGCUUGGCAACCAGACCAGGCCUCUAAUUGAGACGGGCCUUUAUUUGUCAACAUGUGUCUGGUUAAAGGGACUGGGUGUUAAACUGGGACGAGGCUUUUAAUGGAAAUUUUACAGUAAUCAGUGAAAUAAUGGAAGUGCAGUUAGGAACAAAAAUAAUCAGGGUUUAAAGGGUUUUAUUUAGUCUGUGCACUACUUCCUGGUUCUGUGGGUUCCUUUAAAAUAUAAAGUUUGGAAUCAGCUGUUCCAUCGAUGUUUUUUCUGGAUUUCUUCAGUAAUGACUCAUUUUAUUUUAUUUUUCUUAAAAAAAGAAGAAUCUGAAUCAGACUCUAAAUGUGUUAUUUGGAUUUGAAAUAGUUUUUGGCCCCAGAAGAAGAAGAAUGAAAUGAGUGGAUGUCCCCACAGUGUCUCAUGACAGGGGACAAUACUGUGUGAACAUGGACGUUGAAUUUGUCCUCCAGUCCAGACCCUGGAUCAUUGUUGAACCACAUCAGUGUGACAGGACUCAUCAGUCAGGAGGAACUCUGUAAAACCUAAAAGCAUCAAAGAGCGUUCACACAUCAAGAGUCGUCCUCUCAGACAGAAGCUUCUGUGGCAGCAGACUCCAAACUUUGACACCAUGUUUUCUUUUUCAUUUUACCUGCCGACUUUAAAUGUGCACGGCUUAAAUGUUACCUAAUGAAUGCAGAGUGACAGGAAGUCAAAAGAAGUUUCAGCUGAAAUCCUGAUGUGAAUGUGAACAUCCAAAUGUUGAUUGUUAGAAGUUUGAAGAAACUGCAAAUGAAGACUGUCGGUUAAAUUCCACCGAGACAUGUUGUUGUACCUUAUCCUUAAUAAAUUAAUUCAGUCAUUCA